GACUUUGAGAGUUCCGCUUAUGGCUGCAGGGUCAACCAAUUUGUUGUUGGGACCCUGGAGCUGAAUGGCUUUCCUGUCUGUCGAUCCUUGGCUCAGCCCAGAAGUACAGGAAAAGCGGAAGCUGGUUCCAGACAAACCAACGCUCUCAACUCUGAAGAGUCAGGAGUUGUUAGAGAGCCUUUUCUCAGAAAGCCUGACACCCGUGUCUUUAGUCUGGCAUCCAUGCUAGUCACUUUUAACUGGCCAAUAGGUGCCUGGUAUUUAGUCCCCAAAUUCUAAGGAAAAAUAAGACAGAAUAGCAAGCAAAAGGGGUCUGAUGGUACUCACCACUUGGUGAUAGGCGACAGUCCCAUCUGGGUCACCAAAAUAUGUCUGGAAUUGGUUCCUUCCAGUGGGUUCUUGGUCUCACUGACUUCAAGAAUGAAGCCGCGGACCCUCGCAGAACAAUGGUUCAGGAUUCACUAAUUCAGUAUUAGCAGCAACUUUACGGAACAAAACUACUGUGGAUAAUGAGAAUUCACUGCGCCCGUUGUUUAAACAGUUAACAGCAGUCACUUUAGUGCCUUUUGUAGAGACAGAGCACUAUGUGAAGAUUGUGCCUGCUUCCUCUUUGCCUUCCACCAUGAUUGGAAGUUUCCUGAGACCUUCCCAGCAGCAGAAGCCUAUACAGUCUGCAGAACUAGUUCCCCAGCUAUCCCCCAGUGGCUUGGAGAUUCCCAUUUCAAGAGUGUAGAGUUCUACCCAGAAGGUGGCUGCGUGGACAGUGACUACAUUCUCAGCUCCAUGCCUAUUUGGGUGAGGCCCUGUGAUGAAUGGUCAUCAGUGGAAUAUGAGCAGAAGUGUUAUGUGUCAGAAGAAGACAUGCCUUCUCCAUCCUUUCUUUUCCCCUACCCUCUGGUUUGUGUUGGUUUCCAGGGUGUCCUUGGGAGGGGUUUGGGCCAUAAUUUCAAAAGACACAGUGCUAAAUACCACAAUCCCAAAUGUUGAAAUCUGGAAAGAUCAAAAUCUCUAAAGGAAGGCACACAUUUAAGAUGGCAAAGCCACUGUGCCUUUGUCCCUAAAUAAGAGUGGGGCAACUGUGCCUUUCACCACUCUGCUGUUAACCAGUUAUACACACAAUGAACUGUUACGUUAGCAAAAAAAAUGUUUCUUGUAAAGGCCACUGAAAUUGUGGAGUUUGUCUGUUACAGUAACUAGCAGUACUCUAACUAAAAUGAGCGUCUUUCAUAAUAGAGAUGAGAAUUCAGAUUUCUACUAUUCUCUGACAAAUCUCCAUAACACUUAUUUACCAAACCACUGAUUUUAAUUGUGCUGAACGGAAAUGAUCAUGGAGAGUCACUUUUCCAAUGACCUCUCUGUCCCUUGGUUUUCCAUUGUUUAAGGUGAAUGAUAAUUUCUAUCUUUUAUUUCUAUUUGUGGUAUCCAAACAAAAUCAUCAUAAAAACUCCAUUAUGGCAUAGUUAAUUGUAAAAUAAAUAUAUAUGACCAAAAAAAUUAAAAAGACUUCCCUCUUUUAAACCUUU
rnacentral:lncRNA from 1 species